CCUACGGGAGGCAGCAGUGAGGAAUAUUGGUCAAUGGACGAGAGUCUGAACCAGCCAAGUAGCGUGAAGGAUGACUGCCCUAUGGGUUGUAAACUUCUUUUAUAUGGGAAUAAAAUGUUCCACGUGUGGGAUUUUGUAUGUACCAUAUGAAUAAGGAUCGGCUAACUCCGUGCCAGCAGCCGCGGUAAUACGGAGGAUCCGAGCGUUAUCCGGAUUUAUUGGGUUUAAAGGGAGCGCAGGUGGAUUGUUAAGUAAGUUGUGAAAGUUUGCGGCUCAACCGUAAAAUUGCAGUUGAAACUGGCAGUCUUGAGUACAGUAGAGGUGGGCGGAAUUCGUGGAGUAGCGGUGAAAUGCUUAGAUAUCACGAAGAACUCCGAUUGCGAAGGCAGUUCACUGUACUGCAACUGACACUGAGGCUCGAAAGUGUGGGUAUCAAACAGGAUUAGAUACCCGGGUAGUC
rnacentral:rRNA from 1 species